UCCGGUUCUUCACCGGCAGUCUCCUUAGAGUCCCCAUCUUUACAUGCUGGUAACUAAGGAUAAGGGUUGCGCUCGUUACGGGACUUAACCCAACAUCUCACAACACGAGCUGACGACAGCCAUGCAGCACCUGUCUCACAGUUCCUUUCGGCACUUUAGCAUCUCUGCUAAAUUCUGUGGAUGUCAAGGGUAGGUAAGGUUCUUCGCGUUGCAUCGAAUUAAACCACAUGCUCCACCGCUUGUGCGGGCCCCCGUCAAUUCCUUUGAGUUUUAACCUUGCGGCCGUACUCCCCAGGCGGAGAACUUAACGCAUUUGCUUCGAUACCAAUAGGUCUUUGCCUACCAACAUCUAGUUCUCAUCGUUUACAGCGUGGACUAC
rnacentral:misc_RNA from 1 species